GACGAACGCUGGCGGCGUGCCUAAUACAUGCAAGUAGAACGCUGAAGAGAGGAGCUUGCUCUUCUUGGAUGAGUUGCGAACGGGUGAGUAACGCGUAGGUAACCCGCCUUGUAGCGGGGGAUAACUAUUGGAAACGAUAGCUAAUACCGCAUAACAAUGGAUGACACAUGUCAUUUAUUUGAAAGGGGCAAUUGCUCCACUACAAGAUGGACCUGCGUUGUAUUAGCUAGUAGGUGAGGUAACGGCUCACCUAGGCGACGAUACAUAGCCGACCUGAGAGGGUGAUCGGCCACACUGGGACUGAGACACGGCCCAGACUCCUACGGGAGGCAGCAGUAGGGAAUCUUCGGCAAUGGGGGCAACCCUGACCGAGCAACGCCGCGUGAGUGAAGAAGGUUUUCGGAUCGUAAAGCUCUGUUGUAAGUCAAGAACGAGUGUGAGAGUGGAAAAUUCACACUGUGACGGUAGCUUACCAGAAAGGGACGGCUAACUACGUGCCAGCAGCCGCGGUAAUACGUAGGUCCCGAGCGUUGUCCGGAUUUAUUGGGCGUAAAGCGAGCGCAGGCGGUUUGAUAAGUCUGAAGUUAAAGGCUGUGGCUCAACCAUAGUUCGCUUUGGAAACUGUCAAACUUGAGUGCAGAAGGGGAGAGUGGAAUUCCAUGUGUAGCGGUGAAAUGCGUAGAUAUAUGGAGGAACACCGGUGGCGAAAGCGGCUCUCUGGUCUGUAACUGACGCUGAGGCUCGAAAGCGUGGGGAGCGAACAGGAUUAGAUACCCUGGUAGUCCACGCCGUAAACGAUGAGUGCUAGGUGUUGGAUCCUUUCCGGGAUUCAGUGCCGCAGCUAACGCAUUAAGCACUCCGCCUGGGGAGUACGACCGCAAGGUUGAAACUCAAAGGAAUUGACGGGGGCCCGCACAAGCGGUGGAGCAUGUGGUUUAAUUCGAAGCAACGCGAAGAACCUUACCAGGUCUUGACAUCCCGAUGCUAUUUCUAGAGAUAGAAAGUUACUUCGGUACAUCGGUGACAGGUGGUGCAUGGUUGUCGUCAGCUCGUGUCGUGAGAUGUUGGGUUAAGUCCCGCAACGAGCGCAACCCCUAUUGUUAGUUGCCAUCAUUCAGUUGGGCACUCUAGCGAGACUGCCGGUAAUAAACCGGAGGAAGGUGGGGAUGACGUCAAAUCAUCAUGCCCCUUAUGACCUGGGCUACACACGUGCUACAAUGGUUGGUACAACGAGUUGCGAGUCGGUGACGGCAAGCUAAUCUCUUAAAGCCAAUCUCAGUUCGGAUUGUAGGCUGCAACUCGCCUACAUGAAGUCGGAAUCGCUAGUAAUCGCGGAUCAGCACGCCGCGGUGAAUACGUUCCCGGGCCU
rnacentral:rRNA from 1 species